GUAUUUGGUCACAUUGAUGAAAGCUAAUAUAUAUAUGGAAUAUGAGUGAAAACUUCAAUGGGUAACUAGACCUAUACAUUGAGGAUCAUGAGUUUGAAUAAUCAUAGACAUAUCCUUGAUGCCAAAGAAAGAAGAACUCCUGAACCCUAGAAUUUUGCUUGCAGUGAGUUUUCUCCAAAGAAUUACUUAUCUGAGCAAACCAUCUGCAUUCCAUUGGAAUUCCAAUGAUGUACUUGAACAGUUCCCUAUGGAGGAGGAAGAGGAAAGAAAGGAAAGUACAUUGACUGAAAGCAGAAGCCUCUCCUUCAACAAGAUCAGUCCUCUCCAGAAGCCACCCCCGGUGUUCAUCUCGGAAGAUGCUUCCAGCUACCUGACCAGCUCCUGGCUGAUCGUCUUUGUCCCCUCUGUCUACACUGGUAUGGUCCUUAUCAGCCUCCCCCUGAACCUCCUGGCCUUUGCUGUGUUCAUCCUGAAGAUGAAGGUCAAGAAGCCGGCGUGGUCUACAUGCUACACCUGGCCACAGCAGAUGGGCUCUUUGUGCCCAUGCUACCCUUUAAGAUCAGCUAUUACUUUUCCUUCAGCGACUGGAAGUUCAGCUCUGAGAUGUAUCACUUCAUCUCCGUGGCCUUCUACUGUAACUUGUGUGCCUCCACCAUACUCAUGACAGACAUCAGCGUGGACCCCUUCCUGGCCGUGGUGUACCCCAUCCAGACCCUGUCCUGGUGCACCAUGAGGAGGGCCUCCUUCACCAGCCUGGCCAUCUGAGCAAUGGCCAUUGCCCAGCUCCUCCUCAGGGAGCAGCCCGCCCAGGUCCCGGGGCUCAACAGCACCACCUGCCAUGACAGGUUCACUGAAACAGAGCUCGAGGGCUUUCACACCUACUACUUCUCGACCUUCUCAGCUGUCUUCUUUUUCGUGCCCCUGGUCAUUUCCACCAUUUCCUAUGCAUCUGUUAUCCAAUAUCUUAGCUCUUCUACUGUCUUCAGCCAGCACAACAUGUCUCGGGCUGUGUUCCUGUUGACGACCAUCUGCUGCAUCUUCCUCACCUGCUUUGGGCCAACAAAUGUCCUCCUGAUUGUGCAUUACUUGUUCCUGUCCCACAGUCCUGCCGCAAAGGCCGCUUACUUUGCUUGCCUCUGCGUCUGCAUCAGCACCGUGAGCUGUUGCAUCGACCCCUUGAUCUACUAUUAUGUCAGCAGCACCUCUACAGUAUCUUGUGUUGCAAAGAAAAUGUGGAUCCCAACAGUUACAACAGCAGUGGUCAGUUGAUGACAAGUAAGAUGGAUACGAGUUCUACUAAUGUGAAUAAAAGUAUCUAUAAAAAGCUGUUAACUAGAGGCGAGGUGAGAGGAAAAGCUGG
rnacentral:lncRNA from 1 species